UUGUCUGCAUACUCGCGUCCAGAGCUCCUGCUUUGUAUAUUAGGCAAUGAAAUAAUCCACUGACAUGCUCUGACUGCUCAAAACAGGACUCCCAGGGCAAAGUGCCAUCCGUGCUUACUCACCCUGCUGGAUAGCAUUGUCUGCAAUAUUUCUCAAACUGUUUCUACAGGUAUUCAGCCUUGGUGGUGGAGAGGGACCUGGAAUUCUCUAAGAAGCUGUACUUCAGGAAAAGGCCAUGUGAAUGUGAACACAGCAGAGAUUUGACUUGGUGUCCCUGUCUACAAAUACAGAGGGGAAAAAGUGGAAAGAGAAAGCCUCCCCUGGGAAGAAAGGGAGUGAUCCCAUUAUAAAUGAGAGUCAUACAACAUCCCUUCUGGAGGCGUGUUGAAAUUUCCCAUGGGAGGAAGAAGAAUAAACAAAGCAGCUGGAAGCAGUAUGUGCAACAUGCUAAUUUGUAUAGGCAGUGUGUAUUAAAGAAC